rnacentral:rRNA from 1 species
GAACGCGGGGCUUCGGCCCCGAGUGGCGCACGGGUGAGUAGCGCGUGGGAACCUGCCUUGGAGUGGGGGAUAACCGAGGGAAACUUCGGCUAAUACCGCAUGAUCCCGGGAAACCGGGCAAAGAUUUAUCGCUCUAAGAGGGGCCCGCGUCGGAUUAGCUGGUUGGUGGGGUAACGGCCUACCAAGGCGAUGAUCCGUAGCUGGUCUGAGAGGAUGAUCAGCCACACUGGGACUGAGACACGGCCCAGACUCCUACGGGAGGCAGCAGUGGGGAAUAUUGGACAAUGGGGGCAACCCUGAUCCAGCAAUGCCGCGUGAGUGAGGAAGGCCUUCGGGUUGUAAAGCUCUUUCGACGGGGACGAUGAUGACGGUACCCGCAGAAGAAGCCCCGGCUAACUUCGUG